UACGUAGGGGCCUAGUGUUGUCCGGAUUUAUUGGGCGUAAAGAGCUCGUAGGCGGUUUGUCGCGUCUGCUGUGAAAUCCCGAGGCUCAACCUCGGGCUUGCAGUGGGUACGGGCAGACUAGAGUGCGGUAGGGGAGACUGGAAUUCCUGGUGUAGCGGUGGAAUGCGCAGAUAUCAGGAGGAACACCGAUGGCGAAGGCAGGUCUCUGGGCCGCAACUGACGCUGAGGAGCGAAAGCAUGGGGAGCGAACAGG
rnacentral:rRNA from 1 species